rfam:Gossypium raimondii Chr10_contig_11, whole genome shotgun sequence.
UGUUAAAAAUUUCAUCAAAUUCUGUUAUUAAAAACUAGUAUGGAUGACAAAAUAACCAAAAGUGACACGUGGUGUGCCACAUGUACUUUAUGAUAACGUAUAAGAAUCAAUUUUUAACAAAAGAACCAAUUUACUCUUUCAUCU